rnacentral:pre_miRNA from 1 species
AAACACGUGUUGGAGAAGGGGAGCGCGUGCAAAGUCUUGUAAGAUAUCAUAUGAUCUACGCAUGUGAAUUGCACGUGCCCUGCUUCUCCAACAAGAGCUA